ACCCAACCAUACCCUUUCACUCUCUUCGACUUGGUCAUUGGAUUUCGCAUCUGCUUCCCUCUUUGUCCCCUCCCCCCCUCCUUCCCCCAAAAUCAAAACCCUCAAGUCCGCCCUGAUCCCGACCCCAACCCCAACGACCACUCCACCACGACAUGAACCCCACCGUCUUGAAUCAGAUGAACAAGAAUGUUGAAUGAUCGAAAAGAUGGCAAAAUCAGUUCGAAGUUUAACUACUCUUGUUGAAGUCAUGAAUGUUUUCAGAAUGUUGAAUGCUUGAAAAGAAGGUAAGUUAUUUUGUUUCUUCGCAAAUAAUCUCUCUCACGAACACACAGGUUUUAAUCCUUGUAACAAUAAUAUGAGGGAAUUCCUCAGCUUGAAAACGUUAACCAAUCUUAUGUUUGGUAGUUAAACUUCUUCUUCUUCUUCUUUUAAUUUUAUGAGGGAAUUCUUCAGCUAGUACAUUGUUUUUGGAUGGCUUCACUUGAUCAGUCUGUAAUAGACAACCGUUGCGAUUUGGGUGCAGUGGGAUGUUAGAAAAGCUGCAGAGGAUAAUCGUUGUUUUUGAAUAAUCUUAUGAUUGGUAGUGUCACUAUCAAUUCUCAUUCGCACUCAUUUUUAAUGUUAUGUUACUAGCGCCCUGUUGAUAUUAUUGUGAAUAAUCGUUGUUUUGUGCAUGUAUCAGCUUCUCGGUUAUAGUUGAGAUUGUAAUUAGAUUGUU